UAUAACACCAAUUGCUUCAAA
rnacentral:piRNA from 1 species